GUAGGUGGCAAGCGUUGUCCGGAUUUACUGGGCGUAAAGGAUGCGUAGGCGGACAUUUAAGUCAGAUGUGAAAUACCCGAGCUUAACUUGGGUGCUGCAUUUGAAACUGGGUGUCUAGAGUGCAGGAGAGGUAAGUGGAAUUCCUAGUGUAGCGGUGAAAUGCGUAGAGAUUAGGAAGAACACCAGUGGCGAAGGCGACUUACUGGACUGUAACUGACGCUGAGGCAUGAAAGCGUGGGGAGCAAACAGGAUUAAAUACCCUGUAGUCCACGCCGUAAACGAUGAAUACUAGGUGUCGGGGGUCGAACCUCGGUGCCGCAGUUAACACAAUAAGUAUUCCGCCUGGGGAGUACGAUCGCAAGAUUA
rnacentral:rRNA from 1 species